rnacentral:rRNA from 1 species
AUGGCAACCGGCAUUCUGGAGGUUAUACCAGCUCCAGUUGCAGCAUUUGACAUCAGUGAUGACAACAAGUUGGCCGAGAAUUACAAAACAUGUGUCGAAGCCAUCAUAAGUCACAUGGCGAAAGAAACGGAUGUGAAGUUUACUGUUACUGUGGAAGGCAAGGAGGCGACAGUUCCUGUGACUCCAAAGAAAAACCAUACACCAUCUGGUAUGUACGUAAUAGAAGUCACAGAUGGCGAGAAGAGUCUGCAACUGGUCGGCACAAAAUUUCAAGCAUGGUUUAGGGGCAUUGUGAACAAUAGUGGGGAUCGUUUUGAGGUUGAUGACAAAGAGUCGAAGAUAAUGAGGAAGUCUGAUUCCCUCCACACUACUGGCAUGUACCCUAAACUGCUGUCAUGUCAGCUUGCAGAUUUCAAGGUGGGAUAUCAUCGGUUGAAGUCUGCCUUCCACACCCUGGCAACCUAUGGAGAAAGACCGCUGAGCAAGGACCUCGUCAAAGAGAAUGACUCCAUUGGGUUAUUCAUUGUGAUGUUGUUUGAAGGUCCCAGGUUCAUUCCCAUCUACGAGAUCAGCUAUGAUGCUCACCUGGAUAAGGAGAAUACUGUUGGGCAAGACAACAGUAAACUGCUAAUUAGGAACUGGGGUGAUUUGAGCAAGGGUUUUUAUCGACACGUGAAAGUAAAAAUGAGUUUUACCCUAGACGGAAAUACACCAGAGAAUCUCAGGAAGGCUGCUACCACCUUAAGAAUCAUGUCCAGAACCGAAUGGGAUAAGUGGGUGGAGGAGUACGGGAGUGGCCAGAGCAGCAGCAGCAACAGCAGGUGUUAG